CCUGUGGGUGCGCUUGGCCUAGGCUGGCGUGCGGGGCUCCAGGCAGUGACCUGUCCCAGCCGGCCUGCUCGUGGAUGAGACCUCCAGGACCCAGCUUGCAGGCCCCAGGAGCCCGCUGUCCGCGUGGGAAAGUCCUCGACCAGAUGACCUAAUGACGGAUUCUGCAGAAGUGAAACCGUCCUUCGGUGGGAGGCGACAAGGGCCCUGGGACAGAGCCCACACAGGAGCCCUCCGCGUCCAGCCGCCGCUGUCUGAGCGAUGCUGGAGGAGCCUCUGGGCCUCCCUGAGCCCCACGUGCCCGGCUCAGCUGCAGGCAAAAAAUAUUAGAGCUGAUCCCAAGUUGCUUCAAAUGUGAAACAAGCCAAGUCAGAAAAAGAGCAGUUGGGCGAGAGAGACGUCGCUGGUUCAGACCAGGAAGAAGUUUACGGUCGACAGGCAGCUUGCCAGGGGAUGGAGAAGCAAACCGUGGUCCAUGCAAACAGUGGAAUGUCAUUCAACACUGAGAAGUAAUGAGCCGUCAGACUGGAGGAGCCCUGAAUGCACGUCGCUGAGGGGAGAAGCCAGUCUGAAAAGGCUACAGACCAUGUGACUCCAACUCCAUGGCCCUCCGGAGAAGGCGGAGCCAUGGAGACCCUGAAACAGUGCUUGGCAGGAAGGAUGAACAGAACCGAGCCACACAGGGAGAGAGCUUGAACAUAAACUAUGCGUCUUAGUGAAUACUGGUGUAUAGAUAUUGGAUCAUCAAUUGUAGCAAAUCCACCUUGCCAAGGCCAGAUGAACUCCCAACCGCGUCACAGCGUCAUGAAACGGCCACAUCGACGCAAUUCGGCUCGGUGCGGGCUUGGCCGUCAGCAAUAGGCAGGACGAUCCCUGAUCUCGAAGGACAAAGUCUGCGAGUAAGCAUCAGAGAACAAAAGUGCUCGUCUAGAUUUGCGAUCAAGAUGUUUUGGCUGCAGUUACAAAGGUUGCAGCACGGUGGAGCUUCGGGUUAGUGCAGUUCACAAGGUGCUUUCCUGUCCCCCCAGAAGUCAUGAGGGAAAAGUUUCACUUCCCACCCAGCAGAGAGGGCGGCUGCCCCUCCUGUUCUGCUCAGGAUACAGCAAUUGGGUGCCUUUUCAACAGGCAGGCUUGCAAAAAGAGCAGAAGCUUUGUUAUCUGCAGACAGACACAGCUUCAUUUUCACCUUUUCGCACUGAAAUCAUUUCAGAUCCCGGGAAUGUUGUGCAGACAGCUCAGAGGACCCCGAGCCCCCCACGGCUUCCCCAGACCCGCAUGUCUGGAAACCAGGGGAGGAGGGUUGGUAACGCCGCUAAAGGAACUGCAGGUCCGUCUGGGUUCCAGGUGUCCUUCCAGGUGUGCUGGGGGCUCCCCUGCCUGUCUUCCAUGGGCAGUGAGUGAGGAGACACACACAGCCCACGGCAGGGUCUGCGGGGAGCGGGACUGGGCCAAAGACUUGCCUCGCUGGGAGGAGGAGCAUUUUGAUCUACUCCCAUCAUGUGAGCGACCACAGACCCCAGAGGAUGGGACCCCUAGGGUGAAGGGGGAUCACGCACAGCCUUGGCCGCUCAGUCAGUGGAGGACUGACUCUGAAAGGAGGCUUAAAAUGUCCUCACAAAAAGAAAAGGAAAAGAGGGACUUCCCUGCUGGUCCCGUGGUUUGGAAUCCACCUUGCAAACCUUGCAGUGCAGGGGACGCAGGUUCUAUCCCUGGUCAGAGAACUGAGGUGCCCUGUGCUGCAGAGCAACUAAGGCCCAGAGCCGCAACCACCGAGCCCCCGCGCUCUGGAGCCGGCACGCCCCUGCAGGGUCCAUGCGUCACAAGUACUGAGUCCACGCGCUCCGGAGCCGGCGCGCCCCUGCAGGGUCCGUGCACCACAACCACCCAGCCGGCGCGCCCCUGCAGGGUCCGUGCGUCACAAGUACUGAGUCCACGCGCUCCGGAGCCGGCGCGCCCCUAGAGGGUCCGUGCGUCACAACCGAAGACCCUGCAGGACACAAGGAAGACGUUGUGUGCAGGAACUAAGACCCGACGGUCAAAUAAAUAAUUGAAAAGAAAUAC
ensembl:lncRNA